CCUACGGGUGGCAGCAGUGGGGAAUAUUGGACAAUGGGGGGAACCCUGAUCCAGCCAUGCCGCGUGUGUGAAGAAGGCCCUCGGGUUGUAAAGCACUUUCAGUGAGGAAGAACGCCUGGUGGUUAAUACCCAUCAGGAAAGACAUCACUCACAGAAGAAGCACCGGCUAACUCCGUGCCAGCAGCCGCGGUAAUACGGAGGGUGUGAGCGUUAAUCGGAAUUACUGGGCGUAAAGCGCGCGUAGGUGGCUUGAUAAGCCGGUUGUGAAAGCCCCGGGCUCAACCUGGGAACGGCAUCCGGAACUGUCAAGCUAGAGUGCAGGAGAGGAAGGUAGAAUUCCCGGUGUAGCGGUGAAAUGCGUAGAGAUCGGGAGGAAUACCAGUGGCGAAGGCGGCCUUCUGGACUGACACUGACACUGAGGUGCGAAAGCGUGGGUAGCAAACAGGAUUAGAUACCCUGGUAGUC
rnacentral:rRNA from 1 species